AGUUUCAUCAGCACUCCAGAUGAGGCAAGACAGAAGCCAGUUCCUCCCUUGGGCAGAGUACCAAAAGCCUGGAGACAUUAGAUGCAUACGUCCUUCUCUUUUUCCAUCAGGAAGAAGUUACAAGACAAGAUGAUUUCACUGGGAGCUGAGUUUUGCCAGAUUUGGGGAAAUACUGUUGCAGGGUCUAUUUCUUCCUCUUAAAGUGUACCUUCCCUGGAGCUUCAACUUAAUGCCUGAAGUCCUCAGUGAGGUCCCUCCACUCUUCCUGUCUAAGCUGAAACUUCAACAUCUUCAGGAGUGUGUGACACCUGCCCUGGAGACACCAUGGUGAAAAAGACAGUCUUUCAACUUGGUGAAUUUACAAACUAGAGGGAGGAAGACAAUCAUUGGUCUUGUUCUGUUGCCCCAGCUGGAGUUCACUGGCACAAUUUCAACUCACUGCAACCUCUGGCUCCCAGGUUCAAGCGAUUCUCCUACCUCAGCCUCCCGAGUAGCUGGAACUACAGGUUCCCACCACCACACCCAGAUUCCAAAUCCUGAAGAUUGAUAGUUUACAACAAAUUCUAACACCAAACAUUGUCAAGUGGAUCUAAGUUACAAAGAUAAAAAUAUCUCAAGUUAUUUUAAGAAAAAAUGAGCUGCCUACAAAGCUGUUAUAAGGACUAGAAGAAUAUACCCUGGCUUCUGCCCCUAGAAUAACUCCAAGGAUAACAUUACUGAACUUUGCUUACAAAGAAACUAACUUUUUUCAAGGCCAGGGAGUGGGAGUUUCAUCAAGACAUUAUCAAAGGUUGAGCUCCUGAAACAGGAAAGUGGUGCUGACAAGAUCAGAAGGUUACUAUCAGAACCAUCAGCUCUGGUUUGCUGCAAGAUCUGAACUGGCAAAAUGGAUCUCAGGAACUACUGUGUGUUCCCCCACUUAUCUCAUCUUAAAAACCAAAUAUGUGGGUAAAUCUGAAUUUUAGAACUAAAAUUAUAACCAGAAUCUUUGCUGCAAGUCAGGAACAUGGAGCUUGUAGUUUCCCACUGUCUAUGUUAAAGGAAGAUACGCCAGCAGGAUCUUGUACCAUAUUUUGAGUAAGCCUGUCUACUGAAUCUACCACAAUCAUCAGCAUUCUAAGAUUCAGCUGAGGACAAGACCCUGGCACUUAAUAGAAGAGAAGUGAUGAAAAUUGAAUGAUGAUGAGUACUAAUGAUGAAUUCUAAAAUCUGUAUUGAAGGCUUGGGAUUUCUGCACACUAGUAAUUUGUCCCCUCCUCUUUUUAAUGUAUUGCUUUGUUUUUAUAUGUAGUAUUAACAAUUUAGAUAAGGCAACUUCUAAAGUUUCUAACACGUAUUUUCACAUAUUCUAUCAUUUCAGAACAACUGCUGAAAAAAAGUGUUCUGGGAUUUAGAGGUUUUCUGUUCUUUGCAAUGGAUUUGUUUUAGCCCAUGGGGGAAGAUUAGAGAAUAUGUGUGUGCAUUAGUGAGAAAAUGUUAAAUGUAUUAAGAUUCAGUAAGAGUAGAAUAAACAUCAAACUUAUAAACUCAUACAAAUCUACAAGGAAAAAAA
ensembl:lncRNA